rnacentral:lncRNA from 1 species
AGACCGUGUCACCAGUGUCAGGCUGGGAGAUGCUACUGUUACAGGCCGUCCUCCGGGGGGCAUCACUCGACAUCUCCUUCUUUUCCCCCCACGCAGAUGACAGAGAUGGAAAUACUGAGGCGACAAUGUCGAGGAGAUCAUUAUAUGGACUGUACCCCUACAAGUCCAGCAUGCUUGGACUGGAGACUCUAGGCGAUCCAUCAGGUGACUGGGAUAUAGUGGAAACCAUUGGCAAAGGAACUUAUGGAAAGGUCUACAGAGUGACCAACAAAAAAGAUGGGAGCCAGGCAGCAGUGAAAGUGCUGGACCCGAUUAAUGAUGUGGAUGAGGAGAUUGAGGCAGAAUACAACAUACUGAGGUCCCUGCCCAACCAUCCUAACGUGGUGAAGUUUUAUGGCAUGUUUUAUAAGUCGGACAAAUUAACUGGCGGACAGCUCUGGCUGGUACUGGAGCUGUGCAACGGCGGCUCUGUCACAGAGCUCAUCAAAAGCCUGCUGAUGCGUGGCCAGCGUCUGCAGGAGCCUGUUAUCGCAUACAUCUUAUGCAGUGCCCUCUUGGGGCUCCAGCAUUUGCACAACAACCGGAUUAUCCAUCGUGACGUCAAAGGCAACAACAUCCUCCUGACAACUGAGGGAGGAGUCAAACUGGUUGACUUUGGUGUUUCAGCGCAACUGACGAGCGCACGACUGCGGAGGAACACGUCAGUCGGGACACCGUUUUGGAUGGCUCCUGAGGUCAUAGCCUGUGAACAGCAGUACGACUACUCCUAUGAUGCCCGCUGCGAUGUGUGGUCUCUCGGCAUCACAGCCAUCGAGCUGGCAGACGGAGAUCCCCCUCUGGCUGAGAUGCAUCCAGUAAAAGCCCUUUUCAAGAUCCCACGAAAUCCCUCACCCACAUUACGACAUCCUGAAGAGUGGAGCAGGAGUUUCAGCCAUUUCAUCAGCCAGUGCCUGAUAAAGGAUUUUGAGGCACGUCCAUCUGUGACCCACCUUCUGGAGCACCCUUUCAUCAAGCAGGCCCAUGGCAAGGACAUAGCUCUCCGUCAGCAGUUAGCAGCUCUCAUCCAAGAGCAGCAACAAAUAGGCUGCAAAACCAAAUCCAAGCACGUCCGGAUCAAUACUCGUAAAACCCUCAUAAUAGAGAGCUGUCCUGAUGAUGAUCUGGUGAACCUGGAGUUCUUAGACGAGGAGACAAUCAUCAGCCAUCUCCACAAGAGGUAUGAUGAGCUGCAGGUGUACACUUACGUCGGUGACAUCCUCAUUGCUCUCAAUCCUUUCCAGAAUCUCAGCAUCUACUCUCCUCAGUUCUCUAAGCUGUACCAUGGCGUAAAGCGAGCUGACAACCCUCCACACAUCUUUGCUACUGCAGAUGCAGCUUACCAAGGCAUGGUGACAUUCUGCAAAGACCAGUGUAUCAUCAUUAGUGGAGAAAGCGGUGCUGGGAAAACAGAAAGUGCUCAUUUAAUUGUUCAACAUCUUACUUUCCUGGGAAAGGCAAACAAUCGGACACUUCGUGAGAAGAUUUUGCAGGUUAACCCUCUCGUCGAGGCCUUUGGGAACGCUUGCACGGCAAUCAAUGACAACUCCAGCCGCUUUGGCAAGUACCUAGAGAUGAAGUUCACGCCGACAGGAGCGGUUAUUGGGGCCAAGAUAUCUGAAUACCUGCUGGAGAAGUCGAGGGUCAUCAAACAGGCUCCAGGGGAGGAAAAUUUCCACAUAUUCUAUUACAUAUAUGCCGGCCUUUACCACCAAGACGAGCUGAAGACUUACAGCCUGCCAGAUGGGACACCUCCCAGGUACAUUGACAGUCAGCACUGCAAAGUGAUGCAAGACAUUGUGUCAAGGAAACAAUAUAAAGAGCAGUUUGAUGCCAUUCAGGAGUGUUUCCGAAAUAUCGGCUUUACAGAAGAGGUACUAAACACUCAAGCAAUCAGAUAUGCAAUGUCUGGCCACAGAUAUAUUGAGAGGGCGAAACCAUCAUCCGCACCAACACCGUGGACAAAGCAGCCGAUGUCCGAGACGCCAUGUCCAAGGCCUUGUACGGACGGCUGUUCAGCUGGAUAG